rnacentral:rRNA from 1 species
CCUACGGGAGGCAGCAGUGAGGAAUAUUGGUCAAUGGACGAGAGUCUGAACCAGCCAAGUAGCGUGAAGGAUGACUGCCCUAUGGGUUGUAAACUUCUUUUAUAAAGGAAUAAAACGAGGCACGUGUGCCUUUUUGCAUGUACUUUAUGAAUAAGGAUCGGCUAACUCCGUGCCAGCAGCCGCGGUAAUACGGAGGAUCCGAGCGUUAUCCGGAUUUAUUGGGUUUAAAGGGAGCGUAGAUGGGUUGUUAAGUCAGUUGUGAAAGUUUGCGGCUCAACCGUAAAAUUGCAAUUGAUACUGGCAGUCUUGAGUACAGUUGAGGUAGGUGGAAUUCGUGGUGUAGCGGUGAAAUGCUUAGAUAUCACGAAGAACCCCGAUUGCGAAGGCAGCUUACUAAACUGUGACUGACAUUGAUGCUCGAAAGUGUGGGUAUCGAACAGGAUUAGAUACCCUUGUAGUC